rnacentral:rRNA from 1 species
GACGAACGCUGGCGGCGUGCUUAACACAUGCAAGUCGAACGGUGAUGCUCCAGCUUGCUGGCGUGGAUCAGUGGCGAACGGGUGAGUAACACGUGAGCAACCUGCCCCAGACUCUGGAAUAAGCGCUGGAAACGGCGUCUAAUACUGGAUACGAAACUGGCCCGCAUGGGCAUGGUUUGGAAAGUUUUUCGGUUUGGGAUGGGCUCGCGGCCUAUCAGCUUGUUGGUGAGGUAAUGGCUCACCAAGGCGACGACGGGUAGCCGGCCUGAGAGGGCGACCGGCCACACUGGGACUGAGACACGGCCCAGACUCCUACGGGAGGCAGCAGUGGGGAAUAUUGCACAAUGGGCGAAAGCCUGAUGCAGCGACGCCGCGUGCGGGAUGACGGCCUUCGGGUUGUAAACCUCUUUCAGCAGGGAAGAAGCGAAAGUGACGGUACCUGCAGAAGAAGCACCGGCUAACUACGUG